UACGUAGGGCGCAAGCGUUAUCCGGAAUUAUUGGGCGUAAAGAGCUCGUAGGCGGUUUGUCGCGUCUGCCGUGAAAGUCCGGGCUCAACUCCGGAUCUGCGGUGGGUACGGGCAGACUAGAGUGAUGUAGGGGAGACUGGAAAUUCCUGGUGUAGCGGUGAAAUGCGCAGAUAUCAGGAGGAACACCGAUGGCGAAGGCAGGUCUCUGGGCAUUAACUGACGCUGAGGAGCGAAAGCAUGGGGAGCGAACAGG
rnacentral:rRNA from 1 species